rnacentral:rRNA from 1 species
GGGUCAGUAGGUUGGACGUGCCACCGGUACGUACUGGUCUCACUGAUUCCUCCUUCCUGAGGAACCGUAAUGCCAUUAAUUUGGUGUUGCGGGGAAACAGGACUGUUACUUUGAAAAAAUUAGAGUGUUUAAAGCAAGCUAACGCUUGAAUACAUUAGCAUGGAAUAAUGAAAUAGGACGAUCGAUCCUAUUUUGUUGGUUUCUAGGAUUGACGUA